rnacentral:rRNA from 1 species
UACGUAGGUGGCGAGCGUUGUCCGGAUUUACUGGGCGUAAAGCGCCCGCAGGCGGCCUGAUAAGUUGGAGGUGAAAUCUCCCGGCUCAACUGGGAGGGUGCCUCCAAAACUGUCAGGCUUGAGGCAGGGAGAAGGAUGUAGAAUUCCCGGUGUAGUGGUGAAAUGCGUAGAUAUCGGGAGGAAUACCAGUGGCGAAGGCGGCAUCCUGGCCCUGUCCUGACGCUCAGGGGCGAAAGCGUGGGGAGCAAACCGG